rfam:Myotis lucifugus cont2.311, whole genome shotgun sequence.
GGCAGUUCUUGGGUGACACACCCCAGAAUCAGGCUCCCUCCUCUCUGGUUCCGGGUCCAUCACCUGAGAAUCACA